CUUCUUAAACAAAUUCCCCAAAAUUUUAUUUUUCACCUCACCUAACCGAGUUAAUUGUUUGAAUACUCACUGAACUUUAAAGGGCGUCACGUUUCACUCACUGAACUUUACUUUGCACUCAAUUACUCAUUGAAUUUUGGAGUUAAUUAUUUGAAUACUCACUGAACUUUAAAGAGCGUUACGUUUCACUCACUGAAGUUUACUUUAACCCAAUUACUCACUGAACUUUGUAAACUUGCAUUCCAUCACUCAUCGGGUUAAAGAGUUAAUUGUUUGAAUACUUAUCGAACUUUACAAGACGUCACAUUUCACCCACUCAAUUUUACUUUACACCCAAUUACUCACUGAACUUUGUAAAUUUGCACUUCAUCACUCACCAGGAACCAUUUGUUCUGUUUGCUUAUGUGGAUGACGACUUUAACACGUGGCAGUUAAAUUAGACAAACAUAACAAUGAAUUGCCAAAUCAUAUAUCCAAAAGGACCCAAAUAUGCCUCACCGUUUUCACUCAAAAAUGACAUGCCCAGUAAAGGCGAAAAAGAAGAAACAACAAUCGCGAUACACUAAAAUUCACCUUGGAAGCGGCCUAUUUUAAGAGAUUAGGGUUCCAAUCGCGAUUUAUGUGUGAAAACGGUGAGGCAUAAUUGGGUCCUUUUGGAUAUAUGAUUUGGCAAUUCAUUGUUAUGUUUGUCAAAUUUAACUGCCACGUGUUAAAGCCGUCAUCCACAUAGGCAAACAGAACAAACGGUUCCUGGUGAGUGAUGAAGUGCAAAUUUACAAAGUUCAGUGAGUAAUUGGGUGCAAAGUAAAGUUGAGUUGGUGAAAUGUGACGUCUUGUAAAGUUCGGUAAGUAUUCAAACAAUUAACUAUUUAACCUGAUGAGUGAUGGAGUGCAAGUUUACAAAGUUCAGUGAGUAAUUGGGUGCAAAGUAAAGUUCAGUGAGUGAAACGUGACGCCCUUCCAAAGUUCAGUGAGUAAUUGGGUGCAAAGUAAAAUUCAGUGAGUGAAACGUGGCGCCCUUUAAAGUUCAGUGAGUAUUCAAACAAUUAACUCCACCUCACCCCUGCCCCACCCCAACCAACCUAAUUCAUCUUCUUCCCCAAAAAAUACUCAACAAUAGCCAUGCCUCGCCAUUGCAAAUACUCGUGCCUCUCAACAGCAUCCAACACAAUCUUGAACCUAAUCCCUCAAUUCAACAAUUUUACUCUGUUCAUAUGCAGUAAACCACCUAAGCUCCCAGAAAAUUUUACUCCAAUUCAAAAAUUUUACUCCACUUCAACAAUUUACUCCAAUUCAACAAAUUUUUUAGCGAACAUUGGAACUACCAGAAAAUGAAUUUCGAGAAAAAUCAAGGUAAUUAAGCACCAGCAUGCUGCCAAUUCCAUCCAGAAUUUCCCCGUAACAUUUGGAUGGUACCUAUCAAUUUUGAAAAUCAUUCAAGCUCAACUAUGAUACCUCGCCAGUGUAAAAGGCUCCCUGUCCGAUGCCAGAUCUUGAAAACUGCACGAGUGAUUUUGUUUGGCAAGAGAAUUAUCAACGUGAAAAAUGAGAAUUGGAAACAGUUUUGGAUGGAUUUUGGAAACAGAUUUUUAUUGGAGUAAGGAAAGACUGGGGGUGAAAGUUUUGGAUGGAAAAAAAGGAAAUGGAAGGACGGCGGCAACAGAGUGGAACAAGGUUGGGCCGAUGGCCUUGAUGAUUUUGGUGGGUAAGGAGGAGUUGUUGGUGCCGUGAUUAAGGGUUGUGCUUUCCCGCGGCAGUGAUGCUGGUGCAGGGGAUGGAGGUGGGGGAAAUAGAGAUGGUGUAGGGGUUUGAAGGAG
rnacentral:lncRNA from 1 species